rnacentral:lncRNA from 1 species
UAUCGAGUACCAAUUUCUCGCUGCUCCCUUCAAGAUGGAUGGGAAAGCUCGGCACAGGAUGGCGUCUGACGUGCCAUGGAGCAACAUCAUUGUCCGAAAGACCUCCAGAUGAUCGAUCGGGUCUGAGGUCCCAUCGUAGCUCUCAAAUUGAGAGAGCUUAAAGUUCGAUGGGAUCGGUUCCUGCAUGAUCAUUUGAGAAAAAGGAGGAUCAGUACAGAUAUCCUCACCGUAAGCAGGGGGAGCACGGUGGAGCUCUUCGAUCCAUCGAUUCAUCUCUUGAAACCUUCGAUCCAGGAGAUCCUCUUGGCCGUGAGUCUCAAGGGUCUUCUGGGUGAACGGAGGUAGAGACCCUCCGGGGGUAGAAUCAUGGUCAGACAGAGGGCUCUCCGCCUUCUAUUUUCCCUUUUCAGAGGAUACAGGGCGACUGGCCCAAGUAGGCCGCCCGAUCGUCGGA